AAGAGUAUAGCUUAAGUGGUAGAGUGCAUGCUUACCAUGCAUGAACUCCUGGGUUCAAUCCCCAGUACCUUCA
rnacentral:tRNA from 1 species